GGAAAAACAAAAGAACAAGAUAAUGGGCAGAAAACUAUAGUGCAUAAUAUUUUUGUAUAAACCUUGGAUAGUGUUAUUUUAACCAGCCCAAGCUUCCGAAGAGCACAGUCUUUAGAACACAAAUAUGUAAUGCCUAACUCUCUCUGGACUGCUGUUCGUCCUUGUAAACUGCUUUCAGUAGUUCUCUGUAAGGUACAACUUGACCCUCCAGCUGCCUGAAGUGGACUUUUACCUUCGGAAUACAUACAUUUAGUUAGUUACAUACAAACAUUUUACAACUAGUUCUAGAUUGUAAUUAGCAAAACUUUUUAUUUUACUUUAUUGUGCCAUUUGUUAUUGUACAUCAGGAGAUUUUAUUAAAGGACACGGAGGCUAAUAUUAUAUUUUAUCUCUUUCUUUAUUCCUCAGCAGCAAAGAAAGGAUACUGUAAAUAUACAAAGGAAAAAAGUUAACAUGUACCCUAGAGGGUUAACCACAAUAUAACAUCUUAUCCAAUAGGAAUGC